GAUGAACGCUAGCGGGAGGCUUAACACAUGCAAGUCGAGGGGUAAAUGGUAGCAAUACUAUGAGACCGGCGGACGGGUGCGUAACGCGUAUGCAACAUACCUUGUGCAGGGGGAUAGCCCGUGGAAACGCGGAUUAAUAUUCCAUAGUCCAGCUAUAUCGCAUGGUAUAGUUGGUAAAGAUUUAUCGGCACAAGUUUGGCAUGCGUCUGAUUAGCUUGUUGGUAGGGUAACGGCCUACCAAGGCUACGAUCAGUAGGGGUUCUGAGAGGAUUAACCCCCACACUGGUACUGAGACACGGACCAGACUCCUACGGGAGGCAGCAGUGAGGAAUAUUGGUCAAUGGGCGGAAGCCUGAACCAGCCAUCCCGCGUGAAGGAAGACAGCCUUACGGGUUGUAAACUUCUUUUCUGUCAGAAGAAUAAGCUUGUCGAGACGAGUGAUGCCGGUAUGACAGGAAUAAGCAUCGGCUAACUCCGUGCCAGCAGCCGCGGUAAAAC
rnacentral:rRNA from 1 species